UACGGGGGGGGGCAAGCGUUGUUCGGAAUUACUGGGCGUAAAGGGCUCGUAGGCGGCCAACUAAGUCAGACGUGAAAUCCCUCGGCUUAACCGGGGAACUGCAUCUGGAUACUGAAAGGCUUGAAUCCGGGAGAGGGAUGCGGAAUUCCAGGUGUAGCGGUGAAAUGCGUAGAUAUCUGGAGGAACACCGGUGGCGAAGGCGGCAUCCUGGACCGGUAGUUGACGCUGAGGCGCGAAGCCAGGG
rnacentral:rRNA from 1 species